rnacentral:rRNA from 1 species
CCUACGGGUGGCUGCAGUGAGGAAUAUUGGACAAUGGGCGCAAGCCUGAUCCAGCCAUGCCGCGUGAGUGAUGAAGGCCCUAGGGUUGUAAAACUCUUUUAGUGGGGAAAAUAAUGAUGGUACCCACAGAAAAAGCUCCGGCUAACUUCGUGCCAGCAGCCGCGGUAAUACGAAGGGAGCUAGCGUUACUCGGAAUAACUGGGCGUAAAGCGCAUGUAGGCGGAAAUACAAGUCAGGGGUGAAAUCCCGGGGCUCAACCUCGGAAUUGCCUUUGA